GAUGAACGCUGGCGGCGUGCCUAAUACAUGCAAGUCGAGCGAACGGACGAGGAGCUUUCUCCUCUGAGGUUAGCGGCGGACGGGUGAGUAACACGUGUAUAACCUACCUAUAAGACUGGGAUAACUUCGGGAAACCGUAGCUAAUACCGGAUAAUAUUUUGAACAGCAUUGUUCAAACGUGAAAUACGGUCUUUCUGUCACUUAUAGAUGGCUCCGCGCUGCAUUAUCUAGUUGGUAAGGUAACGGCUUACCAAGGCAACGAUGCAUAGCCGACCUCAGAGGGAGAUUGCCCAGCCGGGAAGUGAGGAAGGGCCGCGACUCCUACGGUAGGACGCAGUAGGGACUCCUACGCAAGGGAGCAGAGGCUAACAGAGCAACAUGGGGUGAGGGAUGAAGGAGCUCUGACCGGAAAGCUAUGUUAUUAGGAGAGAAGAAAUGCGUAAGUACCUGUGAAGAUAAUGACGGUACCGAGUGAGAAAGCCCCGGCUAACUACGUG
rnacentral:rRNA from 1 species